UGCAAUUUGUGGUUGCAGCCGGCCGC
rnacentral:piRNA from 1 species